CAAAUGACUCUCGGCAAUGGAUAUCUCGGCUCUUGCAUCGAUGAAGAACGUAGUGAAAUGCGAUACUUGGUGUGAAUUGCAGAAUCUCGUGAACCAUUGAGUCUUUGAACGCAAGUUGUGCCCGAGGCCUUGUGGCCGAGGGCACGCCUGCUUGGGCGUCAUUA
rnacentral:rRNA from 1 species